ACGGUUCAAAGAUGUAUAUAGAUUUUAGUAUAUAUAUAAGCUACCUCUACGAACUGUCACAUUUAGUUGUACGAGAGGACCCGAGACAUACGAUUCUAUUUUGCGAAGCCAAAUUGUGCUAACUAAAGUGUGCGCGCACUUCAUUAUAAUCAACGAUGAAUCGAAUCACGCAUAUAAUCGAUAUGGAUGGAUUUAUGGUUGGAGAUAAUUUCUUAUGUAAA